UUAUCAAGGAUGAGGGAGCAAACAAAAGGGAGA
rnacentral:rRNA from 1 species